GGGAGGCACAGUGGGGAUAUUGCACAUGGGCGCAAGCCUGAUGCAGCCAUGCCGCGUGUGUGAAGAAGGCCUUCGGGUUGUAAAGCACUUUCAGCGGGGAGGAAGGCGAUAAGGUUAAUAACCUUGUCUAUUGACGUUACCCGCAGAAUAAGCACCGGCUAACUCCGUGCCAGCAGCCGCGGUAAUACGGAGGGUGCAAGCGUUAAUCGGAAUUACUGGGCGUAAAGCGCACGCAGGCGGUCUGUCAAGUCGGAUGUGAAAUCCCCGGGCUCAACCUGGGAACUGCAUUCGAAACUGGUAGGCUAGAGUCUUGUAGAGGGGGGUAGAAUUCCAGGUGUAGCGGUGAAAUGCGUAAAGAUCUGGAGGAAUACCGGUGGCGAAGGCGGCCCCCUGGACAAAUACUGACGCUCAGGUGCGAAAGCGUGGGGAGCAAACAGGAUUAAAUACCCUGGUAGUCCACGCCGUAAACGAUGUCGAUUUGGAGGUUGUGCCCUUGAGGCGUGGCUUCCGGAGCUAACGCGUUAAAUCGACCGCCUGGGGAGUACGGCCGCAAGGUUAAAACUCAAAUGAAUUGACGGGGGCCCGCACAAGCGGUGGAGCAUGUGGUUUAAUUCGAUGCAACGCGAAGAACCUUACCUGG
rnacentral:rRNA from 1 species